GCCCCUGUGGCGGAAUUGGUAGACGCGGCAGACUCAAAAUCUGUUGCCCGCAAGGGCGUGCUGGUUCGACUCCGGCCAGGGGCACCA
rnacentral:tRNA from 1 species